rnacentral:rRNA from 1 species
CGUUAUCCCGGAUUAUUGGGCGUAAAGCGUCCGUAGGCGGUUUAUCAAGUCUGCUGUUAAAGACUGCAGCUUAACUGUCGGUUAAGCGGUGGAAACUGGUUAACUAGAGUGUGGUAGGGGUAGAGGGAAUUCCCAGUGUAGCGGUGAAAUGCGUAGAUAUUGGGAAGAACACCCGUGGCGAANGCGCUCUACUGGGCCACAUCUGACNCUGAUGGACSAAAGCUAGGGGAGCCGAAAGGGAUUAGAUACCCCUGUAGUC